rnacentral:rRNA from 1 species
AGGACGAACGCUGGCGGCGUGCCUAAAACAUGCAAGUCGAACGGUGAACCGGAGCUUGCUCCGGGAAUCAGUGGCGAACGGGUGAGUAACACGUGAGAAACCUGCCUCGAAGUCUGGGAUAAGCCAGGGAAACUUGGUCUAAUACCGGAUACCUUCACUAAGUCUUCUGUCUUGGUGAAGAAAGUUUUUCGCUUCGAGAGGGUCUCGCGUCCUAUCAGCUUGUUGGUGGGUAACGCCUACCAAGGCUUCGACGGGUAGC